AGCGAUAAGAGUAUAUGUUUCUCCACACCGAAAGAACAAAAGUAUUGUAUCUACAAAGAACAGAGUCAAAGAGCUAAUAUAAUGCAACAAAAAACUAAACAUUCAUGUUCCAACAAUAGGUUUUCACAGUAAUUAGAGCAAUUCAACUGUUACCAGUCCAAAGAACAAAUACAUGAAAUCAGAAAAGCACAUCUUCAUGAAAUAUCCAGUGGGAAUCUGAAAUGGAGCAUUAAGAACAGAAGGGCGUACGCAAACAUCAUCACAUCGUUUACGGGAUGGUGUAGAGAGGGACUGAAAAACCAAAUAGAACGCACCAGAAUUCCAAAUUUCAUGUCCCCACCAAAGGUUCUUACAGUGAUUACCAAUCCAAAAACAAAUAUAUGAAAUCAAGCACGUAUAUGGAUCAUUGGGAACUGAAAGAGAAAAUCAAGAACAUAUGGGCGUACACACACAUCACUGCAUCAUUUUUAAUCACACAGCAGAGUAUUUACAUAAUCCAAAAAAAAAUCAGAUCUAACUUUCUGAGCUAAAACACAGUAAUGAAAAACUGAUAUGAGAAUUUAAAUCCAGCUUUAGUAUCAGCAAGUGGAAUACAUACAAAAGAAAAGAAAUAACUAACCCCAUUUAUGGAGCUGAAUAGUAAGCUCGAUGAAGAGCUCGUACAUCUGAAAAAUAUCAGCAGCAUUUCCGUGUGAAUACAGAAGUGUUGUGACGGCCAUAGGGUACCUGAUGUACAUUGAGACGUUGGUGCCUCGACGCUUGAGCAGAAGCUCCGUUGCAGAUUAUCUUAUAAGUGAAUAUAUUCGACGGAUCAUUUUAAUUGUUUACUUGUUCCUUUUGUUGGAGUUCAUGAUCAUCAAGAUCAAAACUAAUCGGUUACUUUGGCUAGAAUAUUUUUAUUAUUCUCUAACUGUAGACUCCACUCUCCGAACUAUCUCUCUCUCUGCCUGUAUAUGGGAAUCGAAUUGGUAAGAGCGUAAAGUGGUCGCUGGAAUUUCAAGAAGAAGACGAACCUGGUCAUGACGAUUAUUGCGAGCAAGGCAAAUUAAAUAGCUAAUAGUGUGAUAUCUAGAUUGAAGGACGUACAUCAAGGAGAAGACUAAUUACAUGGAGUGAAUGGUGAUGAGAAACAACAACGACAUAAAUCCACACACAUCACCUUUUCUUCAAGAAAGAGCAAGUCAAUCCCCAUUAGCUCUCCUCCAUUCUUCACAUUACGGGCUUCCCAGAAUAAAUGUAAGAGUAAUGAUUCUGGGACGUUACAGUUUCUAUGGUUUCUCUGCAGCGUGGAGGCAGG
rnacentral:lncRNA from 1 species